UACGUAGGCAGCAAGCGUUGUUCGGAGUUACUGGGCGUAAAGGGUGCGUAGGCGGCUUUUUAAGUCUGGUGUGAAAUCUCCCGCUCAACUGGGAGGGUGCGCCGGAUACUGAGGGGCUAGAGUGUGGGAGAGGAAAGUGGAAUUCCUGGUGUAGCGGUGAAAUGCGUAGAUAUCAGGAGGAACACCGGUGGUGUAAACGGCUUUCUGGACCAUAACUGACGCUGAGGCGCGAAAGCUAGGGGAGCAAACAGG
rnacentral:rRNA from 1 species